rnacentral:rRNA from 2 species
GAGUUUGAUCGUGGCUCAGAUUGAACGCUGGCGGCAGGCCUAACACAUGCAAGUCGAGCGGAUGACGGGAGCUUGCUCCUUGAUUCAGCGGCGGACGGGUGAGUAAUGCCUAGGAAUCUGCCUGGUAGUGGGGGACAACGUUUCGAAAGGAACGCUAAUACCGCAUACGUCCUACGGGAGAAAGCAGGGGACCUUCGGGCCUUGCGCUAUCAGAUGAGCCUAGGUCGGAUUAGCUAGUUGGUGGGGUAAUGGCUCACCAAGGCGACGAUCCGUAGCAGGUCUGAGAGGAUGAUCUGCCACACUGGAACUGAGACACGGUCCAGACUCCUACGGGAGGCAGCAGUGGGGAAUUUUGGACAAUGGGGGCAACCCUGAUCCAGCCAUGCCGCGUGAGUGAAGAAGGCC